CCCGCGCGCGGGAGAUUUUGGCGGGUUGGGGAAGAUGGCGCCGGCGGUCGCUGCCCGGCGGGUGCCGAAAGCUGUCACGGACGCCAAACGCGAGAGCCGUCACCUCUGGCUUUGUUUGCUGGCCUUGGGCUUCGACCCGAAAUGCCACCGCGACGUGAGACUAGGAAGGGACAUGUUUGCUAAACCAAACAACAGAGCUUUUACUGUCAUUGCCCAGUUCUUGUUUACUAAGCUGGAUAAGCGCCGCGCAAAACUAACUUUCAAGCACGCUGGAUUAAGAAAGACAGCAAGUCCUAGAUUUAGGAAGCAAUGCUGUCUGUGGCUUAGAGAAAUUGCAAGUCAAAAGGAAAGAGGUUUUCCACGAAUUACUCCUUCCACACUGAUUUGUCCUGGUGGUGCUAGAUUUAUUCACAUGGCAUACUGUUUUGCAAGAUAUGUAUUGAUUGAGGACAUGAAAAAGCUUUCUGUAGGCACUGGUAUACCUUUUGCUGAAGCUGUAAAGCGGAGACCUAAGGACAUGUACAUAGCAAGAGCAAGACAUAGAGUUGCAUACAGUAAACUGCUGCAAAUUCUUCAAAGGCAAGACUUCGUUAUUCAAGAAUAUGGGAAAAAAGCACGGGUUUUAAUUAGAGAAAUACAACGGACAAAGUCUGAAUAUGCAGUCAUGCGGAAGCGGUCUCACAGGAUGAAACAAAAUGACCGAAACAAAAAUGACACAACUGACAGAAUUCAGAAGGUCCGCAGUAUGUGGACACUUAUAGCGGAAAUGCUUACAUCUCUGAAAAAGGAAAAGGCAGUUGUGGAUUCUGUACUUGAAGACUGUGCUCAUCCAUGUAUUUUAGAUGGCACUGAUGUAGUUUUGCGUGUUCCAGGGUUGUUGACUUACAGAGUUGAAAGUGACAUACAUGGAUUUUGUACAGGAAAUUUAUAUGAAGAUGGAAAACUGAAUUUCCUGACAGUUAUUCAGUUGUUAAAUGAAGCCCUGAGAAUGUUGAGAGAUGAACACUGUCCAUGCGAAUUAAAAGAACUUCACAGAAUUAAAGCCAUGGUUGCAUACUGCAAGAAACUACUACAGGACUUGAACUCAAAGAGUCUAAGAAAUGUGCAACAGUGUUGUGAGCAAAAGCGUCAGUCUAUUUCCAGAAAACAGGAAAUCUGGGAAUCGAAGUGGGAAACUAUUCUUGGCCAGUGUCCUUCUAAUUUAAUCUUUAGAGAUUAUCUAGAACCUGCUUUGCCACUCCAGUCUUUUAGUUCUUCAGAUGAAGAUGAAGACACUAUCUGCUGUCAAUCAUUUGCAGAUAAUUAUGACUCUUGUCAUGAAGAAAGCCAUGGGAAAGAUGAUGGGGCUUUGGAAACCAUGAUGGAUACAACAUUAGUACCCUCAAGAUGUGACUUCAUGCACCAUGGAGAUUUGUUUGCUUAUGAGGCGACAGACAGCUCAUCAGUGCUGCCGUUGCCGGAAGCAUUUGAAAACAGAGACCUGUUAAUUGAAAAUAACUCACAUACUGAAACUUGUGUGAGAAAUAAGAAACCUGUGCCUCCAAAAAUCUUAAAACAUGGAAAGGAAGAAUUUCCCACUUCAGAAAUGGAGGAGAAUGCAGGUGAAGAUGGUAUCCAGCCAAAGUCUUCUGUGAAAAAAGAAGACCUUCUUGAGAAAGCCAGAGAUGAACUUGCAGAAGAGGUUGCAAAGUCAGUGAUGUCUGAGUCACCUGACAGUGGUGAAGAAAAAGGAAUAUCACUUGAGCGUCUCAUUAGCUCACUGUCUUUUAACCCAUUUUUAACAAGGAAACAAAUACCUCGAACUCCAGAAGUUCUGCUUACUGAAAUUAGAAGCUCGUGGAGAAAAGCUAUUCAGACUGAGGGCUCAUUAGACAAAGAUCUGUCCCCAACAGAAGUGGUGACAGAAAAAUCUUCCAUGGAUGGUACACCCAGUAUGCAGGAGAACUCUACCUUUGUGUUCUCUGAACCUGCAUCUCCUGUAUCUGACUUUGAUCCUCCCGUGUCAGAAAAGAAGUCUCAAUUAAGUUCUACAGAAUCUCAUCCUCACGAGCAGGUAAGCAUAAGUCGUAGAUUUGAAUCUUCAGAUUCAAAACUAUCUGGAAUUCAAGAAAGUGAGAGAACUGAAUCAGAAGAACUAGGUUGUUCUGCUUUGAGUGGAAGUUCUGUAGAAGAUCUAAGCCAGACUUUUCACAAUGAAGAGAAGAGCAUGAAUAUUCCAGAGAGUUGUUUGAAAAGUGGUAGAAGAACAAAUACACUACCUUCAGAGCACUGUCGCAGUUUUCUAAUGGAUGAGGUGCUGUGCUGGAAUGUAUCUUCAUUAAAUUCUGUCAGUCAUGAAACUACUGACGUGGGGAUACUGGAUGAGACAUUUCCAGAAUGUGAUAGCAUGGAUCUCAGCAUAUCUUCAAGCUCAAACUCCAUUUCUUAUACAAUAGACAGUGCAAAUAUAACAGAUGUCUUGGAAAAUGAUGAGGAUAUUAAAAAAUCAGACCUGGAUAUACAGUCCCUAUCCAACUCACCUGAAGUGCUAAAAAAGACUACAUCUGAAAGUGAAGAGGAGCUGCAUCAAACACAUAACAAAGACGAAUCUGAAAGAUAUGCAUUUGAACUAUCUCCUAUACCAGAAGAAGAAGAGGAAAAUGGUGAUGAUCCUUACAGGGAUGAAGGACUUACCAAGAUGCUAUUGCCAAACUCUCCUAAUGGAAGCAAAUACUCUCUGUCAUCUUCGCUGGUAUCCUGUCAAGAGAUGGAGGAGAUGCCAUCUUGGGUACAUGAAGUCCCAUGAGACUUACUACAUAAAUUGGAGGGCUCCCACCCAGAGCUCAGUUUACAUCUCAAUCUGAAGUUUGCCUGUCCAGCUGCCUGGAUUAGAUGGUAUCAACACUACCUUAAUUUCAGCGAGGCUUUUGGCACUGUUUCCCAUAACAUCCUUGCAGAUAACAGUUGAGUUAGAAGCUGGGCACAAAGGAACUUUCAUCAGGACGGAAUUUGUAAAGCAGCAGCGUAACCAUAGCAGUGCAUUUAUGGGUCACUUGACUGUGUAGCAUCUUCUCCAAGCAUUGUCUGUAUUUGAAAGUUGCACUCCUUUUGGUGGGGACAGUAUUCCAGUCUCCUUAAGGAGUAUAAGAAUGUCAGUUGCCUGCUCUGGCGCUGCCGUUUUCAUCUCAUCCACAGUGGCCUUCUAUGUACAGCAUAUCAUUUAUAUACAGAACUAUAUAUAUAUUUUAAGCAUAUUUUAAACAGCAUAUGUUGAGUAAAUGGCAUAACCCCAGAAAAAGCAAACAAUGAAAUGUCAAAGGAGAAAUAAUGAAAUCUGUUAAUUUGCUCCUAAUCUACACCUCAUACCCCUCCCCAACCCUUGAUCCAACAGAUUGAAUUUUUACUUGGUGCUCUACAUUCCAUUGCAUUAAUCUCUUUCUGAGACUUCUGGUCUAUAUUGCCAUCAAUUCUACCUAUUGAUAGAGGCUGUUCCUUUUUUCUAAACUUCACUGGAGUGCAUAUUUCUUUAGCUGUAUUACCGAGUAAAUGCUUUACACUAAAGAUAUAAAAAUCUAUUCCUUGUGGUAGUGUUAAUGCUACUUGAUUUUAACAACUGACGUGCACUUACUGCGUUGUGAUGUAAUAGAGCCUGUGAUAAGGUGAGAAAGUAAAAGUUGAGAUUCCAGGAGGUAAACUACUUGUUAUAAAAGUACUGGCUCCUAGCCUAAUGUGUUUAGAGUUGUGAGGAAUUGUUAAAUAAAGUUGUUUUUCUGUUCUGCAA